UACAGAGGGUGCAAGCGUUAAUCGGAAUUACUGGGCGUAAAGAGCACGUAGGUGGGUAUUUAAGUCGAAUGUGAAACCCCCGAGCUUAACUUGGGGACUGCAUGCGAUACUGAAUACCUAGAGUAUAGUAGAGGGAAGUGGAAUUUCCGGAGUAGCGGUGAAAUGCGUAGAUAUCGGAAAGAACACCAACGGCGAAAGCACUCUGCUGGGCCGACACUGACACUGAGAGACGAAAGCUAGGGGAGCAAAUGGG
rnacentral:rRNA from 1 species